rnacentral:rRNA from 1 species
CCUACGGGGGGCAGCAGUGGGGAAUAUUGGACAAUGGGCGCAAGCCUGACCCAGCAACGCCGCGUGAAGGAAGAAGGCUUUCGGGUUGUAAACUUCUUUUCUCAGGGACGAAGCAAGUGACGGUACCUGAGGAAUAAGCCACGGAUAACUACGUGCCAGCAGCCGCGGUAAUACGUAGGUGGCCAGCGUUAUCCGGAUUUACUGGGUGUAAAGGGCGUGUAGGCGGGAAAGCAAGUCAGAUGUGAAAACCAUGGGCUCAACCUGUAGACUGCAUUUGAAACUGUCUUUCUUGAGUACAGGAGAGGCAGACGGAAUUCGUAGUGUAGCGGUGAAAUGCGUAGAUAUUAGGAGGAACACCGAUGGCGAAGGCAGUCUGCUGGACUGCAACUGACGCUGAGGCGCGAAAGCGUGGGGAGCAAACAGGAUUAGAUACCCGAGUAGUC